GCUCAGGACGAACGCUGGCGGCGCGCCUAACACAUGCAAGUCGAACGAGCGAGAGAGAGCUUGCUUUCUCGAGCGAGUGGCGAACGGGUGAGUAACGCGUGAGGAACCUGCCUCAAAGAGGGGGACAACAGUUGGAAACGACUGCUAAUACCGCAUAAGCCCACGACCCGGCAUCGGGUAGAGGGAAAAGGAGCAAUCCGCCUUGAGAUGGCCUCGCGUCCGAUUAGCUAGUUGGUGAGGUAACGGCCCACCAAGGCGACGAUCGGUAGCCGGACUGAGAGGUUGAACGGCCACAUUGGGACUGAGACACGGCCCAGACUCCUACGGGAGGCAGCAGUA
rnacentral:rRNA from 1 species